rnacentral:rRNA from 1 species
CUUCCGUAGGUGAACCUGCGGAAGGAUCAUUACCGAGUGAGGGCCCUCUGGGUCCAACCUCCCACCCGUGUCUAUCGUACCUUGUUGCUUCGGCGGGCCCGCCGUUUCGACGGCCGCCGGGGAGGCCUUGCGCCCCCGGGCCCGCGCCCGCCGAAGACCCCAACAUGAACGCUGUUCUGAAAGUAUGCAGUCUGAGUUGAUUAUCGUAAUCAGUUAAAACUUUCAACAACGGAUCUCUUGGUUCCGGCAUCGAUGAAGAACGCAGCGAAAUGCGAUAAGUAAUGUGAAUUGCAGAAUUCAGUGAAUCAUCGAGUCUUUGAACGCACAUUGCGCCCCCUGGUAUUCCGGGGGGCAUGCCUGUCCGAGCGUCAUUGCUGCCCUCAAGCACGGCUUGUGUGUUGGGCCCCCGUCCCCCUCUCCCGGGGGACGGGCCCGAAAGGCAGCGGCGGCACCGCGUCCGGUCCUCGAGCGUAUGGGGCUUUGUCACCUGCUCUGUAGGCCCGGCCGGCGCCAGCCGACACCCAACUUUAUUUUUCUAAGGUUGACCUCGGAUCAGGUAGGGAUUCCCGCUGAACUUAAGCAUAUCAAUAANCGGAGGAAGAUCNUUACCGAGUGAGGGNCCUNUGGGUCCNACUCCACCCGUGNCUAUCGUACUUGUUGCUUNCGCGGGCCGCCGUUUUCAGNGCCGCNGGGNAGUGCUUGGCCCG